AGUCUCAGAGAGUUUGAUCAUGGCUCAGGACGAACGCUGGCGGCAUGCCUAACACAUGCAAGUCGAACGGAAGUAAGAGAAGCUUGCUUUCUUACUUUAGUGGCGGACGGGUGAGUAACGCGUGAGCAAUCUGCCUUUCAGUGGGGGAAUAAUGUUCUGAAAAAGAGCACUAAUACCGCAUAAAGUAUCGUUGCCGCAUGACGAUGGUACCAAAGAUUUAUCGCUGAGAGAUGAGCUCGCGUCCGAUUAGCCAGUUGGUGGGGUAACGGCCUACCAAAGCGACGAUCGGUAGCCGGACUGAGAGGUUGAACGGCCACAUUGGGACUGAGACACGGCCCAGACUCCUACGGGAGGCAGCAGGUGGGGGAUAUUGCGCAAGUGGGGGAAACCCUGACGCAAGCAAUGCCGCGUGAAGGAUGAAGGUCUUCGGAUUGUAAACUUCUUUUGUCAGGGACGAACAAUGACGGUACCUGACGAAUAAGCUCCGGCUAACUACGUGCCAGCCGCAGC
rnacentral:rRNA from 1 species